rnacentral:rRNA from 1 species
GACGAACGCUGGCGGCGUGCUUAACACAUGCAAGUCGAACGGUGAAGCGCCAUCCUUUUUGGUGGGUGGGGAUGAGUGGCGAACGGGUGAGUAACACGAGAGUAACCUGCCUCCUCCUUCUGGAUAACCGCAUGAAAGUGUGGCUAAUACGGGAUAUGCUGGGUGUGUCGCAUGAUGGGUCUGGGAAAGAUAGUGUGUUGGUGGGGGAUGGUCUCGCGGCCUAUCUGCUGGGUGGUGGGGUGAUGGCCUACCAAGGCGGUGUGGAGUAGCCGGCCUGAGAGGAUGGACGGCCACAGUGGGACGGCGACACGGCGCAUACUCCUAGAGGAGGCAGCGGGGGAGAAUAGAGCACAGUGGGAGGAAGCCUGAUGCAGCGACGCGGCGGGAGAGAUGGAGGCCGGCGGGUUGUGAACCUCUUUCGCGAGUGAAGCACGCCUGCCUAGUAUGUCGGUGGGUUGACGGUAGCUGGAGAAGAAGCGCCGGCUAACUACGUG